rnacentral:rRNA from 1 species
AUACGGAGGGUGCAAGCGUUAUUCGGAAUCACCGGGCGUAAAGGACGCGUAGGCGGGUUGGCAAGUCAGAUGUGAAAUCCUACAGCUUAACUGUAGAACUGCAUUUGAAACUGCUAACCUAGAGUAUGGGAGGGGGAGAUGGAAUUAGUGGUGUAGGGGUAAAAUCCGUAGAUAUCACUAGGAAUACCGAAAGCGAAGGCGAUCUCCUGGAACAUAACUGACGCUAAGGCGUGAAAGCGUGGGGAGCAAACAGGAUUAGAAACCCUAGUAGUCC